CACGUAGGGGGCAAGCGUUGUCCGGAUUUAUUGGGCGUAAAGAGCGUGUAGGCGGCCAUACAGGUCAGCUGUGAAAACUCGAGGCUCAACCUCGAGACGUCGGUUGAAACCGUCUGGCUAGAGUCCGGAAGAGGAGUGUGGAAUUCCUGGUGUAGCGGUGAAAUGCGCAGAUAUCAGGAAGAACACCUAUGGCGAAGGCAGCACUCUGGGACGGUACUGACGCUGAGACGCGAAAGCGUGGGGAGCGAACAGG
rnacentral:rRNA from 1 species